ensembl:lncRNA
ACAGGUAAUCUGGACAGAUUGGAGAGCUGGGCGAUCACCAGCCACAUGAGGUUUAACAAAAGCAAGUGCCGGGUCCUGCACCUGGGACGGGGCAACCCUGGCUAUACGUACAGACUGGGCGACGAGACGCUGGAGAGCAGCCCCGCAGAGAGGGAUCUGGGGGUCGUGGUUGACAACAAGCUGAAUAUGAGCCAGCAGUGUGCCCUGGCAGCCAGGAGGGCCAACUGUAUCCUGGGAUGCAUCAAGCACGGCAUUGCUAGUCGGUCGAGGGAAGUGACUGUCCCGCUCUACUCUGCGCUGGUGCGGCCUCACCUCGAGUACUGUGUGCAGUUCUGGGCACCACAGUACAAAAAGGACAUUAAACUGUUGGGGAGUGUCCAGAGGAGGGUGACGAAGAUGGUGAAGGGCCUAGAGGGGAAGACAUAUGAGGAGCAGCUGAGGUCACUGGGCCUGUUCAGCCUGGAGAAGAGGAGGCUGAGGGGGGACCUCAUCGCAGUCUACAACUUCCUCGCGAGGGGGAGUGGAGAGGCAGGGGACCUAUUCUCCAUAAACACCAGUGAUAACACCCGCGGGAACGGUGUUAAGCUGAGGCAGGGGAAGUUUAGGCUGGACAUCAGGAAGAGGUUCUUCACCGAGAGGGUGGCUACACACUGGAACAGGCUCCCCAGUGAAGUAGCCACUGCACCAAGCCUGUCUGAAUUUAAGAAGCGAUUGGACUGUGCACUUAGUCACACGGUCUAAACUUUUGGGUAGACCUGUGCGGUGCCAGGAGUUGGACUUGAUGAUCCUUAUGGGUCCCUUCCAACUCGGGAUAUUCUCUGAGUCUAUGAUUCUAAGUGUUUCAAUGCGUUCAUUCCGUAUCAGGUUUUAAACUGUAUCAUGGUUAAGAUUCAUGACCAGGGACCUGAACAGCUACAAGAGAAGCAAACUGAUAAAACAGAAACAGAAGAACCCUCACCUCAUUCUUAUGCUUUAUUUUUGGCUGUGUAUGGCUGAAAUCUCAUUAUGUGAGGUUUUAGAAACUGUACCC